rnacentral:rRNA from 1 species
UACGUAGGGUGCGAGCGUUGUCCGGAAUUAUUGGGCGUAAAGAGCUCGUAGGCGGUGUGUCACGUCGUUCGUGAAAACCCGCAGCUCAACUGUGGGCUUGCAGCUGAUACGGGCGGGCUUGGAUUCGGUAGGGGAGACUGGAAUUCCUGGUGUAGCGGUGAAAUGCGCAGAUAUCAGGAGGAACACCGGUGGCGAAGGCGGGUCUCUGGGCCGAUAUCGACGCUGAGGAGCGAAAGCGUGGGGAGCGAACAGG